rnacentral:rRNA from 1 species
CCUACGGGAGGCAGCAGUAGGGAAUCUUCCGCAAUGGACGAAAGUCUGACGGAGCAACGCCGCGUGAACGAUGAAGGCCUUCGGGUCGUAAAGUUCUGUUGUUAGGGAAGAACAAGUGCUAGUUGAAUAAGCUGGCACCUUGACGGUACCUAACCAGAAAGCCACGGCUAACUACGUGCCAGCAGCCGCGGUAAUACGUAGGUGGCAAGCGUUGUCCGGAAUUAUUGGGCGUAAAGCGCGCGCAGGCGGUUUCUUAAGUCUGAUGUGAAAGCCCCCGGCUCAACCGGGGAGGGUCAUUGGAAACUGGGAAACUUGAGUGCAGAAGAGGAAAGUGGAAUUCCAAGUGUAGCGGUGAAAUGCGUAGAGAUUUGGAGGAACACCAGUGGCGAAGGCGACUUUCUGGUCUGUAACUGACGCUGAGGCGCGAAAGCGUGGGGAGCAAACAGGAUUAGAUACCCUGGUAGUCCACGCUGUAAACGAUGAGUGCUAAGUGUUAGAGGGUUUCCGCCCUUUAGUGCUGAAGUUAACGCAUUAAGCACUCCGCCGUCGGGAGGUACGGUCGCGAACGACGUAGAAACGUUAAACGUAAAGUAGUACGGACGUGAGACGUAGCCGACGACGACCGACGACGGGAGGUAGGAG